CACGAGUUGGGCUUGAUGAUCCUUGUGGGUCCAUCCCAAUUGAUAUAUUCUGUGAUUCUGUGAUCUUUUUUAGGGUGCACAUGGUGCUGUGCAGUCGUAUAGUCCAUCCCUGCCAAUGGAUUUUUGAAGCUGUUUGAUUCCCAGCAGAAGCAGGAAGUGGAAGUGUAUGCAGAGUGUAUGCUGUUUGAAGAAAUGGCAUUUCUUGUUCUCUACUGUGCAAGUAGAGGAGAAUACAUGCCAGCAUGCAGGCAUUCUCAAAAACUUGGAGUUCAUUGAUACCCAUUGGCUGAAUAAAGAGGAGCUGUAGACCUGUCCCAGUGUUGUCCAGGAUUAGAGGAACUUUGAUACUCAUCCUAGGCAGACUCCUUGAAGAACUGAACUGCUGAGCUCUUUGAAAAAUUCUGCUGGAUGCAUGUAAGUGACAGCUUAUUUCAUGGCUGUAGAACCUGGCUAGAUGUAGGUGAACUCAAGUCUUUCAAAAGAUAGACAGGGUGAGUGAUGGCUCCCUAGAAAAUUUAAAGCUUUGAGUUUAAAUUUGAAGUUUAGUAAGUACUAGAAUUUUUUAGUGUGAUAACUUAGCUAAUAGUGUUUCAGGACCUUUCUGCCACCAUCCCUGCAAACUCUCUCAAGUUUCUUUACAAAUUGUUUACUUAAUGGUAUCAAAAUGUCACAUAUUUAAUUUAGGAGAAAAGCACAUGAAGUAAAUUAGGUUAAAAAAUCAUACUCUGCAUUUUGUAAUGUUGUUUUAUUAGUAAUAUUAAAUGUUAAAAUAUUAAAACCAAAAAUUCCCCAAAUCCAUUAGUCUGUGCAGACACUCACCAUGGAAAACUUCAGCUAAAAUGAUAAUGUUAAUGAAAGUCAUAGAAAUAAAUGAAAACAGAGAAUUUUACUUAUACA
rnacentral:lncRNA from 1 species